rnacentral:tRNA from 1 species
GCCGGUGUAGCUCAGUUGGUAGAGCAGCGCAUUCGUAAUGCGAAGGUCGGCGGUUCGAUUCCGUCCACCGGCACCA